CAGCAGCCGCGGUAAUACGUAGGUGGCAAGCGUUGUCCGGAAUUAUUGGGCGUAAAGCGCGCGCAGGCGGAUAGGUCAGUCUGUCUUAAAAGUUCGGGGCUUAACCCCGUGAUGGGAUGGAAACUGCCAAUCUAGAGUAUCGGAGAGGAAAGUGGAAUUCCUAGUGUAGCGGCGAAAUGCGUAGAUAUUAGGAAGAACACCAGUGGCGAAGGCGACUUUCUGGACGAAAACUGACGCUGAGGCGCGAAAGCCAGGGGAGCGAACGGGAUUAGAUACCCCAGUAGUCCCUGUCUCUUAUACA
rnacentral:rRNA from 1 species